CCUACGGGAGGCAGCAGUGGGGGAUAUUGCACAAUGGGGGGAACCCUGAUGCAGCGACGCCGCGUGGGUGAAGAAGCGCCUCGGCGCGUAAAGCCCUGUCAGCAGGGAAGAAAAUGACGGUACCUGAAGAAGAAGCCCCGGCUAACUACGUGCCAGCAGCCGUGGUUAUACGUAGGGGGCAAGCGUUAUCCGGAUUUACUGGGUGUAAAGGGGGCGCAGACGGGGAUGCAAGCCAGGAGUGAAAGCCCUGGGCCCAACCCCGGGACUGCUCUUGGAACUGCGUGGCUGGAGUGCAGGAGGGGCAGGCGGAAUUCCUGGUGUAGCGGUGAAAUGCGUAGAUAUCAGGAGGAACACCGGUGGCGAAGGCGGCCUGCUGGACUGCAACUGACGUUGAGGCACGAAAGCGUGGGGAGCAAAUAGGAUUAGAUACCCCAGUAGUC
rnacentral:rRNA from 1 species